rnacentral:rRNA from 1 species
AUGGCAGUCGUUGUAGCAGUGCUCCUGCUACGACGUAGUGUUGCCUGUGAGACUCCAUGGCUGGCUGUGGUCCGUGCGGGGCAGCGCCGCUGCGGGCUUCCUCCGGCCUCCGUCGCCGUCGGCAGUCACCGCUUCAGUCCGCCAGCCGAGAGGCUAGAAGGGGAAGCCACCCAAUGUCCAAUCCAUCCAGUACUGCAUCCAUCUACAAAUUACCAAGGUAAAUUUCCUCUGUCUUUUAAACAAAUCCGAAGCUUUUUUGAUAAAUUUCCACUGCUAGAAGCCACUGAUCUGCCACGGAUUGAUUGCUACUUUGUUGAUUUGUUCUUGUAUAAAUUGUAA